rnacentral:miRNA from 1 species
CAUGGUGAUGAUGUGCUGAAG